ensembl:lincRNA
AUGAAUGGGCAGCAGGCACUGUGCCCGCUGGACAGCAGAGCCAUCUUGUUUUUCAUGGGAUUUCUUCACUCGUUCAGCACAAAGGAUACAAUGUCUGCAGCAUCUUCUGAGCCUGGAGGGACGAGGGGCAUUCAAGGAAAAGCUUGUGACCUUGGCUGGACCCUUCGCCUGCUGGUCUUGGCAUCAGGGAACUCCUCACGCCGUAUCAUCUAUGGAGAAGACUCUGGCCAAAGCCUGAAGGGAAGGAGCUGACCGACCUGUGAUUCUGUGUCAAACAUAACACAGAGGUUUUCUCGUUUAAUUGGCACAACUGCCUUUUGAGGUGGAUGCUGUUCCUAUUUUACCCCAGAGGAAAUGGAGGUCCAGAGAGUUAGGUAAGCUGCUUAUGGUAGAAAUGGUCAUUCAAAUAAGAGAUAUUUGCGGUUUGAAGAUGAAGCCUCAAGUCGUAUCUUGUUCUUAUUCCCGCUGCAGCAGCCCUUCUCUGGGAAGGCCCAGGAGUCUGUGCAGAAGGAGAUAAGAUGUUGCAGCUUCCAGGGGGCCUGUGUUAGCCAGAGCAACGGCAAGCACACCACAUCCGGCGGUGGUGGUGGUGGCAGUGUUGGAAAACAAAGUAUGUGUGGGCCAGGCUGAGAUCAGGCCGAAUCCAACACCGGACACUCUUGGUGGCAGCUUUGGGUCCAGCUGUGGUUCCAUGAAGAUGGCUGGCUUCCCACUGAGUGACUUAAAGAUGAAAACAGCCGACUCUGCUGCCAGCCCUGUGUGCUCUCUCCUUGAGCUGCCCCUGUGCCAUGAAGGAGUGUUUUCCACAGGAAAUCAGGGUAACGGAGGACGUUAGAAAGUGUCAGGUCCAGGGACUUCCCUGGUGAUCCAGUGACUGAGACUCUGCACUCCCAAUGCAGGGUGCCCGGGUUUUACCCCUCGUUGGGACGCUAGAGCCCACAUACCGCAGGCUUCCCGGGUGGCACUAGUGGUAAAGAACUUGCCUGCCAAUCCUGGAGCCAGAAGAGACUCCGGUUUGAUCCCUGAGUCGGGAAGAUCCCCUGGAAUAGGAAAUGGCCCCCCGCUGCAGCAUUCUUGCCUGGAGAAUCUCCAUGGACAGAGGAGCCUGGUAGCGGGCUAUACAGUUUGCAGUGUUGCACAGAGUCGGACACCGUGAUUGAAGCGACUUAUCGCACAAAAUUUCCCGUGUGUGGCAGUGGAGAUCAAGGAUCCCGUGUGCCACAACUAAAGAUCCGGCACAGCCAAACGAAUACAAAACAAACCCCACAGAAAGCUGGGCAGUGGCAUUAAUCGCCCCUUUUUUUAAUUUCAAAGAAAGUGUUAGGUCCAAUUCAGAAUGGGGAGGGACACAGAGAGAGUUUAGUGACAUUGCAGGUCUCGAUUUUGGACUCUUCUUCUAUCCCAUAUUUUUCCCAGAAGAUUAAGCACUGGUGACCUCUAUGGACACCUUAGAUUUUGGGGAGAGUGUUACGUAUUCCUCUAUCAAAUGAUUUUUCCGCUUGAGGUUUGCCUCCUCAUUUAAGACCCACAGAGAUGCCUAAGCUUUCUCAAGAGGAGGGACUCAGUCAGAAGUGAUACCAUUGGUAAGGGCCACGGCUGGAGGUGACACACCCCACGACUCUGGCCCCAUGGCUCCGCCUGUCUGUCCUGAGGUCUGAGGGCAUCGCUAAUCCCCACUGUGACCCAGGCUUUCAGCACACUGGCUGGCUAAAGUGCCAGCAGGAAUGCUGCAAGUACGACCGUAGCCUUAGGGUAAAUGGCCUUUGAUAUAAAUUCCAUGGUAAACAGAAGUUAAAGGAUAUCUCUUUGUCAUCCCACUUCAUGGGAAAUAGAUGGGGAAACAGUGGAAACAGUGUCAGACUUUAUUUUUGGGGGCUCCAAAAUCACUGCAGAUGGUGAUUGCAGCCAUGAAAUUAAAAGAUGCUUACUCCUUGGAAGAAAAGUUAUGACCAACCUAGACAGCACAUUCAAAAGCAGAGACAUUACUUUGCCAACUAAGGUCUGUCGAGUCAAGGCUAUGGUUUUUCCAGUGGU